rnacentral:rRNA from 1 species
AGAGAGAGACAUGCGCGCAUAUCAAUAAGCGGAGGAAAAGAAACUAACAAGGAUUCCCUUAGUAACGGCGAGUGAAGCGGGAAGAGCUCAAAUUUGAAAUCUUCAAGGUUCUACCUUGACGAAUUGUAGUUUAUAGAAGUGUUUUCUGUUAGUGGAGUGGCAAAAGUUCUUUGGAAUAGGACAUCAUAGAGGGUGAGAAUCCCGUAUUUGGUCAUUCCUCCUAGCGUUGUGAUACACUUUCAACGAGUCGGAUUGUUUGGGAAUGCAGUCCAAAAUGGGUGGUAAAUUUCAUCUAAAGCUAAAUAUUGGCGAGAGACCGAUAGCGGACAAGUACCGUGAGGGAAAGAUGAAAAGAACUUUGAAAAGAGAGUUAAACAGUACGUGAAAUUGUCAAAAGGGAAGCGUUUGACACCAGUGUUGUUUUUCCGAAAAUCAAUUACGAAUGUUUUAUUUUUGAGGAGUUAUGACUUCAUCGGCUUGCUCCUUUCUUUACUGAAACUUUCUUAAUGCACUUUUCGGUUAACAAGUCAACAUCAAUUUCUUUUGUUGUAAAAGGGUAUGAGGAAGGUGGCUUUCUUUUCGGAGAAAGUGUUUAUAGCCUUGUGCCUCUGCAAUCGGAGAGAUUGAGGUCUGCAGCGUAGAUCCUUCGGGGUUAGAUACGUUUGUGCUAAGUUAUAGCUUUUCAUAGACAACUUGUUGACUAUGUUUAGUCUUGUAGCUUACUCGCUGACGCUAUUUUACCUACGCUUAGGAUGUUGAUAGUCACAGCGUGUAC